GGUAAACCUCAGCAGUGCCUGGGUAGAGGACGCCGGGCUGGGCCGCGCGGGGGUGGAAUGAGGGCGUCUAGAACAGAGAAAACUAAGUAGGUUGGAUGGACUCUGAGUGCAAUCUUGAUGUCUUUCCUGCUCAGUAAGAGGAAGAAAGGCGCUGCUGGCUAAUGUUUGGACUACUUGCUGGAUAGGAACAGAUCUUUACUGCUGCAUGUACAUAAUUCUGUACGGAACAGUCAUGUUCCUGGAUUCUGACUGCAGCAUCGUCAGUAUGUGCUUUGAAACCUACCUGGCACAAAUACGAUGAAUCUGCUCAUACCCUUUAACCUCUUUUUCAUCACUUUUCAUCAUUCAAAAAUUUUAAUUGAGUCUAUAUGCUAAGCACUGAACAUAAAGUAUUAGAUAACUUGUAUAUAGUUCAUGUGGGGUAUGAUAAAUUGAGACUGGAAAGGUAAGCAGUGGGUAGAUCAUCCUUUAUCCUAAGAGCAGUGUAGCCUUUGAAUGGUUUUAAGCAGGAGGGUAGCAUAUCAGAUUUGCAUUUUAGAUCAGUGUGUUUGCAGUGUGGACAAUAGAGAGAGCAACAGUGAAGUCAGGGAGGCUAGGCAAGGUUUUUGUAGUACCUGAGGAGAAAAAUGAGAAAUGAUGUGGGCUGGACUAGGAAAGUGAUAGUGGUGAUGGAGAGAACAUUGAAAUGCCCAGGGGGCAUCCUAGUAGAAACAUCUCUCCAAGUCAUCAGAACUUCCCAACUGUGUGCCUCAGGGAAGAGGUUAUGGUGGUGCUGCAUACUGGACUUUGCAAUUCUCAGGGCAGCACAAGCUCCCUGAAUCAGAGAGCAAUCUUGGUUAUGCCAGAUUGCAUUAUCCGGCAUAUGAAACACCAUGAUUUUCUAUGUGUGUACUGACACGGAAAAAGUUGGGAAGCACUGAUGUAGGCUGUGGGAUAGAUAAUUCUGAAGCUCAGGAGAGGAAUCAGAGAAGAUGAUGAUAGAGAAGAGCUUUGUGAGUCCUCAGGACAUUGGUGGUCACUGAACUCAUGCAGUUGAGGAGAUCAUGCAAGGAGAGAAAAGAAAGGCUGGAACAGAACCCCAAGGAACAUCAGCCUUAGCGGGGCAUCUCCAGAGAAGAAGGAAAAAAACUGAAUGAAUGCUGUCCCCCAGAACCCAAGAAAGGGAUUUAAAAAAAAAAGGACCAAAUACAGUCGGUCCUUCUUAUUGGUGGUUUCCACAUUCAUGCACUCAACCAACCUCAGAUCAGAAAAAAUAAAAAAAUAAAAACUA